AUUGAACGCUGGCGGCCGGCCUAACCCAUGCAAGUCGAGCGAGCGGCGGACGGGUGUGUAAUGUCUGGGAAACUGCCUGUUGGAGGGGGAUAACUACUGGAAACGGUAGCUAAUACCGCAUACCAUCAGAUGUGCCCAGAUGGGAUUAGCUAGUCUGUGGGGUAACGGCUCACCUAGGCGACGAUCCCUAGCUGGUCUGAGCGGUUGACCAGCCACACUGGAACUGAGACACGGUCCAGACUCCUACGUGAGGCAGCAGUGGGGAAUAUUGCACAAUGGGCUCAAGCCUGAUCCAGCCAUGCCGCGUGUGUGAAGAAGGUCUUCGGAUUGUAAAGCACUUUAAUUUGGGAGGCGUUACCAACAGAAUAAGCACCGGCUAACUUCGUGCCAGCAGCCGCGGUAAUUC
rnacentral:rRNA from 1 species